rnacentral:rRNA from 1 species
UCGAGAAUAAUUCGCAAUGGACGAAAGUCUGACGAUGCGACGCCGUGUGAACGAUGAAGGCCUUCGGGUUGUAAAGUUCUGUCGCCUGUGAACAAGGGUAUGCGGUAAACAAUCGCAUACUUUGAGUGUAACAGGAAAGGAAGCACCGGCUAACUCCGUGCCAGCAGCUGCGGUAAUACGGAGGGUGCAAGCGUUAGUCGGAAUUAUUGGGCGUAAAGGGUGCGUAGGCGGGAAUAUAAGUCAGAUGUAGAAAAACUAAGGCUCAACCUUGGCAGUGCAUCUGAAACUGUAUUUCUAGAGGGAUAGCGGAGAAAACGGAAUUCCACGUGUAGCGGUGAAAUGCGUAGAUAUGUGGAAGAACACCUGUGGCGAAAGCGGUUUUC